rnacentral:tRNA from 1 species
UGAGGAUUGGCCGAUUGGCAUUAGGCACCGGACUUUGACUCCGUUUAAGCUGGUUCGAUUCCAGCAUCCUCUUCCA